UACGUAGGGGGCAAGCGUUGUCCGGAAUUAUUGGGCGUAAAGAGCGCGCAGGCGGUCGUUCAAGUCGAGUGUGAAAGCCCCCGGCUCAACUGGGGAGGGUCACUCGAUACUGAUCGACUCGAAGGCAGGAGAGGGAAGUGGAAUUCCCGGUGUAGUGGUGAAAUGCGUAGAUAUCGGGAGGAACACCAGUGGCGAAGGCGACUUCCUGGCCUGUUCUUGACGCUGAGGCGCGAAAGCUAGGGGAGCAAACGGG
rnacentral:rRNA from 1 species